rnacentral:rRNA from 1 species
AUGGCCGCCGCACGGACCUACGCCGACUUCGUGCCGUCCCACGACCUCGUCGAGGACGCCGCCAAGCAGACCCUCGUCGUCAACCUCCCCGGGUUCAAGAAGGAGCACCUGAGGGUCCAGAUCGACAACUACGGCCGGCUGAGGGUCAGCGGCGAGCGGCAGCUCGAGGGCGGCCAGUGGAGCCGGUUCCGCAAGGAGUUCCAGGUCCCCGAGGGCUGCGACGCCGGCGGCAUCCGCGCCAGGUUCGAGAAGGACGGCGUCCUCCACGUCAUCAUGCCCAGGCUCACGCCCCUCCAGGACGACCCAACGGCCGCGGCAGACCACGAGGCGGAAGCUGCGCGGCACGCCGCUGCCGCAGAAGAGAAGAAGCGCCACGAGGAGAUGGAGGAGGAGGACGCGAGGAGGCGUCGUGCGGGUGACGAGGACGACUACGCCAGCGACGAAGGCGAGGGCGCACACCACCAGGCGGCGUCUGCCGGUGGGCAGGCGUACGGCUUCGCCAGGGACCGGAGCAGGAGCGGGAUGGUGAGGGCGCUCCUCCUCGCCGUGGCGGUGGCCUUGGUCGGCGCUGCUGGCCUAACACUUCGAUUUACUCCAUCAGCUUCAUCAAAUCCAUCCUCACGAGCAGCUCGCACCACCUUUGUGAUCACCUUCUUCGCCCGUUCACCGUCCGAGCUCUGCAAGCGGCGCCGUCAGCUAGCCAUGGCCGCCGCACGGACGUACGUCGACUUCGUGCCGUCGCACGACCUCGUCGAGGACAGAGGGAAGCAUACCCUCGUCGUCAACCUCCCAGGGUUCAAGAAGGAGCACCUGAGGGUGCAGAUCGACAACUACGGCCGGCUGAGGGUCAGCGGCGAGCGGCAGCUCGAGGGCGGCCAGUGGAGCCGGUUCCGCAAGGAGUUCCAGGUCCCCGAGGGCUGCGACGCCGGCGGCAUCCGCGCCAGGUUCGAGAAAGACGGCGUCCUCAACGUCACCAUGCCCAGGCUCACGCCCCUCGAGGACGACCCAAAGGCUGCGGCGGACGCUGCCGCCGACGCAGAAGCUGCGCGGCUCGCCGCCGCCGACGCAGAAGAGAAGAAGCGCCGGGAUGAGAUGGAGGAGGACGCGAGGAAGCGUCAUGCGGGUGACGAGGAAGAACACGCCAGCGGCGAAGGCGAAGACGCACACCACCAGGCCGUCCAGGCGGCGUCUGCCGGUCGGCAGGCGUACGGCUUCGCCAGGGACCGGAGCUGGAGCGGGAUGGUGCGGGCACUCCUCCUCGCCGUGGCGGUGGCCUUGGUCGGCGCUGCUGGCCUGUAUGCUCGCUACAGGUGGAUGGAUCCGUCGGCUGAGAGUGAGACGGCGCCGGCAGAUGGUGCUAUCGUCAGCCUCUUUGACUACUGA